UACGUAGGUGGCAAGCGUUGUCCGGAUUUACUGGGCGUAAAGAGCGCGCAGGCGGUCGUUCAAGUCGCGUGUGAAAGCCCCCGGCUCAACUGGGGAGGGUCACGCGAUACUGAUCGACUCGAAGGCAGGAGAGGGUAGUGGAAUUCCCGGUGUAGUGGUGAAAUGCGUAGAUAUCGGGGAGGAACACCAGUGGCGAAGGCGACUACCUGGCCUGUUUCUUGACGCUGAGGCGCGAAAGCUAGGGGAGCAAACGGGG
rnacentral:rRNA from 1 species